rnacentral:lncRNA from 1 species
UUUUUAUUUAUUUAUGAUAGUCACAUAGAGAGAGAGAGAGAGAGAGAGAGAGAGAGAGAGAGGCAGAGACAUAGGCAGAGGGAGAAGCAGGCUCCAUGCACCGGGAGCCUGACGUGGGAUUCGAUCCCGGGUCUCCAGGAUCGCGCCCUGGGCCAAAGGCAGGCGCUAAACCGCUGCGCCACCCAGGGAUCCCUGACAAGAGUUUUUUUUUUUUUUUUUUUUUUUUUAAUUUUUAUUUAUUUAUGAUAGUCACAGAGAGGGAAAGAGAGAGAGGCAGAGACACAGGCAGAGGGAGAAGCAGGCUCCAUGCACCGGGAGCCCGAUGUGGGAUUCGAUCCCAGGCGCCAAACCGCUGCGCCACCCAGGGAUCCCCUGACAAGAGUUUUAAAUUUAAAUUUUAAAUUUACAAAUUUUUACUCUUAAAAAAUGAAAAACAUGAAGUUUCAGGAAAGCAAUAGGAAGACUAAAAAAAGCAAUAAAGAUAUAAAGAAGAACUAAAUGAAAAAUUUAGAACCAAAAAAUACAACCAAAAGAAAGAAAACUCAAUGGAUAGGCUCAACAGCAAAAUGGGGGAGACAGAGGGAAGAAUUGGUGAACUUGAACAAUAAAAGCUAUGCAAUCUCAACAACAAAGAGAAAAUAGCCUGGAAAAAAUAAAUAGAACCUUAAGGACCUGUGGGACGAAAAGAGAUCUAACAUUUGUGUCAUCUGAGUCUCAGAAGCGGAGUUGGAGGGAGGGCUGAAAAGUAUUUUUUUAAAAAUGACUAAAACUUUCCAGCAUUUGGCAAAAACCAUAAAUAUACGGGUUGAAAAAACUCAUCAAAACGCAAAUGGAUCAAAAAAAAAAAAAAAAAAAAAAAAAAAAACUCAAAUGGAUCAAGCCCAAAGAAAUUCAUGCAAAGACAUAUCAUAGUCAGUCUUCUGAAAACCAAAGACAGAUUUGAUCUUGAAAGCAGUCAGACAGAAUGACACAUUAUUGAAGGGGAAUUAAAGACAUUCACAGAUGAAGGGAAACUAAGAGAAUUUGUUACUGGCAGACCUAACCUAAAAGAAUGGCUAAUGGAAGUUCUUGAAACAAAUAGAAAAUGGAAAAAGAAGGACUCUUGGAAGACCAAGAAGUCAGAAAGAACACAUAGAUAAAAAUAUGGAUAAACACAAUACGUUUCCUUCUCCUCUUGAGUUUUGUUUGAUGGUUGAAGAAAAAUUAAAAUGCUCUUUUGCGUGGUUCUCAAUGAAUAUAGAGAAAAUAUUUAGCAUGAUUAUAUUAUAAUUAGGGAAGGGUAAAGGGGUGUAAAGGAGAUGAAGCUUCUACAAUUCACUCAAACUAUCAAUACCAGUUGACUUUGAUAAAUAUAUAUUAUAUAAUAAUAAGAGAUUAUAUAAUGCAUCUAAUUAUAAUAAUUAUAUAUUAUAAAAUAUCUUUAUAGAUAAUAUAUAAAUGUAUAAUAUGAUAAUAUAAUACAAUAAAGUAACUUCAAAUGUAAUUAUUUAAGUUGAAAAUAAAAGGAUGAAAAAGAUGAAAUGCAAACAUUAAAAGAACACUGGUAUGCCUAUCUUAAUAUUAGACAAAGUACAGAGCAAAGCAAAUUACCAAGGACAGAGAAGGACAUUACAUAAAGAUAUAAGGGUCAAUUGUCUAAGAGCUAGUCAUCCUAAAUGUGUAUGCACCAGAGAACAGAAAUGUGAAGCAAAAACGGAUAGAACUAAAAGGAAAAAUAGACAAAACCACAAUUAUAUUUGGAGACUUGAACAUCUCUCCACCAGUGAUUGAUAGAACUAAAUAAGAUGAUUAAUUCCCUCAAAAAUUGCAGUAAAAAUUUGGGGAAGGAAUGCCUGAGAAGCCUUCAAUCAUCACCAUCAGGAUAUGCCAAGUCGGUCAUAACAGACAUGAUCUCUAACUCCAUGGAGCUUAUCUCCAGUGGGGAAGACAGGUAAUUACAGUCAUGCUCAAGUGUAGUUAAGUGGAGUAAUAAGAAAAUUCAGGGCCCUCUGUCUGUCUGUCUCUCUCUCUCUCUCUGUGUCUUUCAUGAAUAAAUAAAUAAAAUCUUAAAAAAAAGAAAAAAAAAGAAAAUUCAGGGUCCUAUUGGAGUCAGAAAAGGAUUCUUUCUGAGGAAUCAUCAUUUAAGCCAACCUCUGGAGAGAAAGUAUAAACUCUGCAAGUGAAGAAAUGGGUAAAAGUGCUUUAGGGAGAGGGAACCGCAUUCAGCUAUCCAAGAUUUGAGAAAACUUGCUCAUCAAAAAUAACAGUGAUUCUUGGGACGCCUGGGUGGCUCAGCAGUUGAGCAUCUGCCUUUGGCUCAGGGUGUGAUCCCAGGGUUCCAGGAUCAAGUCCCACGUCAAGCUCCCUUCAGGGAGCCUGCUUCUCCCUCUGCCUGUGUCUCUGCCUCUCUCUGUGUGUCUCUCAUGAAUUAAUAAAUAAAAUCUUUAAAAUAUUGCAACUUGUCUUUGUCUCAAACAGCUAGACUUCCCAUUGAUUCUAGGAUUCUAUGUUAAAUAUACCUCAGAGGAAGAUUAAUGAUAUCUAUCAAUUAUUGGAUGCUUAUUACAUGCCAAGUGUGAUGCUAAGCACCUUCAUAUGUUACAUAAUUCUUACCAAAAGCUGUGAUAGAGACAUUUUUAUGAAUUCAAUUUUAGAAAAGGAAAAACUGAGGUUGAAAAAAAUUUAGUUUUGCCUAAGGUCAAGAUGCUAGAAAAUGUUGGUUCUGGGGUUCAAACCUAAAGCUUCUAUCUAUAGUGCCUCUAGCUUGGCGAACUGGACUUCAGGGCAGUUUAGCUGCUGGCCUGCUGUGUUGGGCUGAGCUAUAUCAUUUUCAUAUUGAAUAUGGGACAUGUUAUUUUCUGUUAUAGACUGAAUGUGUCCACUCCAAACUCAUAUGUUGAAAUCCUAACCUUCAAUGUGAUGGUAUUUGGAGGUGGGGGUGUGGGCCUUUGGGAGGAAAUUAGAUCAUGAGGAUGGAACUGUCAUGAAUGGGAUGAAUGCCUUUAAAAAGGGGGGCCCAGAGCGUUUCUCUCUCCCUCCACCCCUCUCUCUUACUUUCUGCUAUGUGAGGAUACAAGAAAUUAGCACUCUGUCAUCCAGAAGAGGCUCUCAUCAGAACCCAAACAUGCUGGUACUCUGGCCUUGGACUUCCAGUAUCCAGAACUGUGGGAAAAAAAUUUCUGUUAUCUCUGUAUUUUGUUAUAGCAGCCUGAACUAAAACAUCUCCACCUCGACAAUAUGUCACUUGCCUUAGAAAAUGGUCCAAUCCAAGUCAUAUCCUUCAGAGAUUUUCCAUCAUGUUCUGAGUCUGGCAGAAAAUGAGAGACUCAUGACACAAACCAAAAAAACCCCACCCUUGCUUUGCCCUUGCAGGUGAGGUGAUACAGGAGAGGAAUAUCUGUGUGUCUUUGUCCUUUCCAGUUGCCAUCGAUAUAAUCCAGGAUGUGCACACCAUCAAAAUAUGCAGUGUAGAUGUGAUCUUUGUAAAUUGGUCCCACUUUGGGAAAGAAUGAGAUGGAAUCAGAAAUAUAUUUAUUUAACAAUUCAUGCUUAAAAUAUUGUAUAAUAUAUAAUAAAAAAUACACGUAAGUACACCUAUGAAUCAUUUUAAUAGCCAUUUUAUUAACCUAAGAACUACAGGGAAGUGUAA